UGAGGAAUAUUGGACAAUGGGCGCAAGCCUGAUCCAGCCAUGCCGCGUGGGUGAUGAAGGCCCUAGGGUUGUAAAGCCCUUUCAGCGGGGAAGAUAAUGACGGUACCCGCAGAAGAAGCCCCGGCUAACUUCGUG
rnacentral:rRNA from 1 species